AGAGUUUGAUCCUGGCUCAGGACGAACGCUGGCGGCGUGCCUAAUACAUGCAAGUCGAACGCUUCUUUUUCCACCGGAGCUUGCUCCACCGGAAAAAGAAGAGUGGCGAACGGGUGAGUAACACGUGGGUAACCUGCCCAUCAGAAGGGGAUAACACUUGGAAACAGGUGCUAAUACCGUAUAACAAUCAAAACCGCAUGGUUUUGAUUUGAAAGGCGCUUUCGGGUGUCACUGAUGGAUGGACCCGCGGUGCAUUAGCUAGUUGGUGAGGUAACGGCUCACCAAGGCCACGAUGCAUAGCCGACCUGAGAGGGUGAUCGGCCACAUUGGGACUGAGACACGGCCCAAACUCCUACGGGAGGCAGCAGUAGGGAAUCUUCGGCAAUGGACGAAAGUCUGACCGAGCAACGCCGCGUGAGUGAAGAAGGUUUUCGGAUCGUAAAACUCUGUUGUUAGAGAAGAACAAGGAUGAGAGUAACUGUUCAUCCCUUGACGGUAUCUAACCAGAAAGCCACGGCUAACUACGUGCCAGCAGCCGCGGUAAUACGUAGGUGGCAAGCGUUGUCCGGAUUUAUUGGGCGUAAAGCGAGCGCAGGCGGUUUCUUAAGUCUGAUGUGAAAGCCCCCGGCUCAACCGGGGAGGGUCAUUGGAAACUGGGAGACUUGAGUGCAGAAGAGGAGAGUGGAAUUCCAUGUGUAGCGGUGAAAUGCGUAGAUAUAUGGAGGAACACCAGUGGCGAAGGCGGCUCUCUGGUCUGUAACUGACGCUGAGGCUCGAAAGCGUGGGGAGCAAACAGGAUUAGAUACCCUGGUAGUCCACGCCGUAAACGAUGAGUGCUAAGUGUUGGAGGGUUUCCGCCCUUCAGUGCUGCAGCUAACGCAUUAAGCACUCCGCCUGGGGAGUACGACCGCAAGGUUGAAACUCAAAGGAAUUGACGGGGGCCCGCACAAGCGGUGGAGCAUGUGGUUUAAUUCGAAGCAACGCGAAGAACCUUACCAGGUCUUGACAUCCUUUGACCA
rnacentral:rRNA from 1 species